GAUCAUGGCUCAGAUUGAACGACUGGCGGCAUGCCUUACACAUGCAAGUCGAACGGCAGCACGGGGCAACCUGGUGGCGAGUGGCGAACGGGUGAGUAAUGCAUCGGAACGUGCCAUUGAGUGGGGGGUAACGUAGCGAAAGUUACGCUAAUACCGCAUAUUCUGUGAGCAGGAAAGCAGGGGAUCGCAAGACCUUGCGCUCUUUGAGCGGCCGAUGUCAGAUUAGCUAGUUGGUGAGGUAACGGCUUACCAAGGCGACGAUCUGUAGCGGGUCUGAGAGGAUGAUCCGCCACACUGGAACUGAGACACGGUCCAGACUCCUACGGGAGGCAGCAGUGGGGAAUUUUUGGACAAUGGGGCAACCCUGAUCCAGCCAUGCCGCGUGAGUGAAGAAGGCCUUCGGGUUGUAAAGCUCUUUCGGCCGGGAAGAAAUCGCAUGGGUUAAUACCCUGUGUGGAUGACGGUACCGGCAUAAGAAGCACCGGCUAACUACGUG
rnacentral:rRNA from 1 species